rnacentral:rRNA from 1 species
GACGAACGCUGGCGGCGUGCUUAACACAUGCAAGUCGAACGGAAAGGCCCUGCUUUUGUGGGGUGCUCGAGUGGCGAACGGGUGAGUAACACGUGAGUAACCUGCCCUUGACUUUGGGAUAACUUCAGGAAACUGGGGCUAAUACCGGAUAGGAGCUCCUGCUGCAUGGUGGGGGUUGGAAAGUUUCGGCGGUUGGGGAUGGACUCGCGGCUUAUCAGCUUGUUGGUGGGGUAGUGGCUUACCAAGGCUUUGACGGGUAGCCGGCCUGAGAGGGUGACCGGCGACAUUGGGCCUGAGAGACGGACCAGACUCCUACGGGAGGCAGCAGUGGGGAAUAUUGCACAAUGGGCGGAAGCCUGAUGCAGCAACGCCGCGUGCGGGAUGACGGCCUUCGGGUUGUAAACCGCUUUCGCCUGUGACGAAGCGUGAGUGACGGUAAUGGGUAAAGAAGCACCGGCUAACUACGUG